CGUCUUGCCGAAUGCCUCUGCCCGACGUGGUGUCUGCCCAAAUACACUUGAAUAAGACUACAUUGAAUUGACCACUGUAAUUUAGCUCGAUGAUGUCUACUAAUUUCCCGUAAUACGAGAUGCCGCCGACAGCAACAUUGGCAUCCCGUUUACUUGCAUAACUUCUAGUAUCCGAAGUGACAUAAACCCCGAUAUUCUGUGUUUUCAUCCCUUCCUCCCUCGACAUGGUCCUAAAUUUAAAUCCAUUGACGUUGUAAGCUGGUUAGCGUUUGGCCUGAGCGAGGGGACCGCAGGCGAGCCACUGCAACUCGUUCGAAUGAUUGGUGCUUCCAAAUGGGACCUGGCAUUGAACCAUUAGAGGCAAGAGGGCAUCAAAGGGUAGUAGGAUCCUGAGAUAUUAAAGAUUACCUUAUGCCUGAACCAGUUGGCAAAUUCUCUGUGCACAACGCUAUCUAUGUGAGACUGGGACCUUGUUCUACUUCGCAGUUUUCUCUUUGUGAUGGC
rnacentral:lncRNA from 1 species